rnacentral:misc_RNA from 1 species
AGAUGAUUGAGCUGAUGCUGAAGGAAGCUAUGUAUCUUUCUUUAAUGUGAUCCUCUUUCAUUAGUUUGUAACUUUAUUGUCUCUAUCUUUUAUAUAUCUUCCUAUGUAUUUCAUGUUUUAUUAAUUUUGUGACUAAAGUGACAUUGAUUUGCCAAAAAUAUUUGUUGUUAGCUUUAAUAAGUGAAUAAUAUUUCAUGCUUUGAACACUUGUUGUAACAGGGUAUAAUA